rnacentral:lncRNA from 1 species
GAUGUGCUGGGCCUGACCAGCCGCCCGCUUUCCUCUUCUCUUGCCUCUGCCUGCCCCCUGGUGGACAGCUGGGGUAAAGCAUGGGAGUGCGCCUUUGGGGUCUCAGUGGGGCUGAAAUACGACUCCUCCCCUAGGACAGCCUGCCUUCCCCAGCCUUGUUCUCCGGCAAAGUCAAUUUCCUGGAGAAUCGAGGCUCUGCCUCAGAUGUUCGGAGCCUCCGCAGGAUGAACACCUCCAUUUCAAUUCCAGGGGCUUUGAUCAACCUGUGCCUCCCUUGAUCCCCAACUUGUGGGCACCUUCCCUUGAGCAGUGCCCCCACGAGGUACACCUUUCCCGGGAAACAAAAAUCAUUCCUUCUUUGGGUCCUGCAAGCUGUAAAGAACCAAUACAGCACUGUGCUACUGAACAUGUUGCCACUAUAGAAGCCCCUUGUGUUUUGAAGAGUACAUCUCUAUAGCCAUUCGUUUAUUCAUCAGAAACCAGCUAGAAGCCAGGCCCUGUGCUGGGCGCUGGAGACAUGGAAGAAACUGGGCUGAGGCUCCCGCCUUGAAGAGCUUGUGGCCCAGGGAAGGGACAGUUCAUCUGUCAUUGAUUGCCACGUGACAGUGUCUAUGAUGCUAAAAAGAUGCCAGUGCUGUGCUGCAGGAGCAAAGGCCGUGGAGGAAGAGGCUUUGGCUUUGUUGCGAGUCCUUGCCAGAGCCAGGCAAAGCCAGUCACCGCUUUGUUCAGAUGACUCAGGUAAAUAAAUGAGGCCGCACAGGCUGUCCUGACACCACACACCUCUAGAAUACCCUGGCUGUGCUGGGAGCUAUUGGUGUCAGCUGAGUAUUUUCAUCCCUGUCCAAGUCACAAUGAUCUGACUGUACCAGCCUGUGUGGAUGUUGCUAAGAGGAGGCAGACAGCACCAUGAGCUCCCUUAGAUGACGAUCGGCAUGAUGUUCCUGCUGUGGCAGCGCUCAGCUCUUGCCAAUGCUCUUCUCUGCUUUGCUCACUUUAAGCCUCCCUUAAUUUUUUUGAAGCCCAGUUUCCACAUUGCUGAUUCACAGAUAUGCAAGACUCAGGCAGGAAAAAAAAAAGGAAAGGCUGGAAGAAAAACACAUUAGUGUUCUUCCAAACUCUUGACUUUUGGAAAAAAUUAGCAUAGAGAGGAUGGAUGCUCAGCCAUGGCCUGACAUCGAAUGCCUAAUGCAGAGGUGAAGACACCUGCACAGUCCCAUGCACUGGCGAGCUUCCUGGGGACAAGGGCAGUGCCUUGAUCACCUCUCUUCCUCGUGCAGUAAAUGUUUGUUGGAUGAAUGGUUGUCAACUCUAGUCCUGUCAGUCCUCCCUGAGCCCUGUCUCCUUUUCCAGACUUCUUAGAGGACUUGGAAAGAAAAUGAAAUGACGUUGAACGAAAUCAAAGUAAAUUGAGUGAUCUGAAACGAUUUGAUGUCAGCAAGAAUUCCCCAUACAGCUCACAGCCCUACCCCGAGCACGCCUCCCUCUUGGGUAUGGUCUCUGCAGGCCCAAACCUUGCAGAAGCCAUUCCAUGUUUCCUGAGCAGGAAAAGACAAACUCAGACCGACAACCUUGGACUUCAAAAGACUGCACACAAGGGGAGGAAGGACUGAGAGUACCAAGGCGUGAGAAUUCAGAAUGCUGCUAUCUCAUUUAUUUUUACCAUUUAGGAAACGUUUUGAUCUGCAUUCCUUUUCCCUUCCCUGAUUUCAAAAAAUAAAAAUAAAAAUGCUUCGGUUCUGAGGAGUAACUCUCCAG